GUUGAACGCUGGCGGCGUGCUUAACACAUGCAAGUCGAACGAACUUUCGGGUUAGUGGCGGACGGGUGAGUAACGCGUGAGAAUCUGCCCUCAGGAGGGGGAUAACGGCUGGAAACGGCCGCUAAUACCCCAUAUGCCGCGAGGUGAAACGAAUUUCGCCUGAGGAUGAGCUCGCGUCUGAUUAGCUAGUUGGUGGGGUAAAGGCCUACCAAGGCAUCGAUCAGUAGCUGGUCUGAGAGGAUGAUCAGCCACACUGGGACUGAGACACGGCCCAGACUCCUACGGGAGGCAGCAGUGGGGAAUUUUCCGCAAUGGGCGCAAGCCUGACGGAGCAACGCCGCGUGAGGGAUGAAGGCCUCUGGGCUGUAAACCUCUUUUGUCAAGGAAGAAGAUCUGACGGUACUUGAUGAAUAAGCCACGGCUAAUUCCGUGCCAGCAGCCGCGGUAA
rnacentral:rRNA from 1 species